AUCCAUGGCCAAUGCAACCGUGGUAGCUUCGUGACGUGGGGUUCUCAAUCGUUACGCUGCCCUCUUAUUUAUUCGACCUAAAAAGAGGGGGUUUCAGGGUUUUCAGAAAUUUUCUAUCUGGAUCCAUCGUGGACUCGCUUCUUGCGAGCUUACUUUCGCGGUAUUUCUAUUUCUACCUCUGUUCAAGAUUCAGUUUUCAAAUAUCGUUUAUCCAUCAUUGAUGUGUGUUCACUUUGUUAUAUUUGAUUCACUUCUCUUAUAAACUCGACCGCUCGUAAUUGCAAUUUCUCAAGAUUUACAGAAGUCAUCAGUGUCUUGUGUAACUUUUUGCUUAUUUGAGUUUUGAUCUGUAAAUUCAAUUUGGAAGAAGCAAUGGAUGAGGGGAAACAUAAGUCUAGGACAGAGGAUUCGGAAAGGAGUCGAGAUAGAGAAAGAGAUAAGGCGAGGAACGGGGAGAGACCUAGGAACAAGAAGAAAGGCGAUAGUCGGAGAUCCGAGAAAGAGAGUAGUGAUUCUGAUGAUAAAUAUGAUAGGGAGAGGGAGAAGCAUAGAACGCGGACACGGGAUGAUGAGAGGGAAAGAGCCAGAGAGAAGAAGAGGGAAAGAGAGAGGGAGAGGGAGAAAGAGAAGAGGGAGAGGGCGAAGGAGAAAGAAAGAGAAAGGGAAAGGGAGCGAGAGAAGAGGGAACGUGAGAGAGAGGGGAGGGAGAGGGAGAGGGAGAGGGAGAAGGAUAGAGAAAGAAGGGAGCGUGAAAGAGAGAAGGAGAAGGAAAGAGAGGAAAGGAGAAUGCAAGAUAGGGAGAAGCGACGGGCAGCUGAUAGCGAUGAUGGCAAUGAUGACGAUGAGGUUAGGGAGCAUGAUAGGAAGCGGCGUAGGAGAGAUGACGAUGAUCACAGGGAGAGAGAUCGUGAAUGGAGCAGCAAUAGGCCUCGCAAGCACAGGGAUGACAAUGAAGAGAGCCCAAGAAGAAACAGUGGCGGUGAUCGCUCAGAUAUGAUGGAGAAAAAGCUGACUCGGGAAGAGGAGUUGGAGGAUGAGCAGCGGAGAUUAGAUGACGAAAUUGAGAAGCGGCGGAGGAGAGUGCAGGAGUGGCAAGAGUUGAGGAGAGCAAAGGAAGAAGCUGAGAGAGAAAAAGGAGGGGAAGCAAAUGCUGAUGAACCUAUGUCUAGCAAGACCUGGACUCUUGAAGGGGAAUCUGACGAUGAAGAAGUACCGGGAGAAUUGGAGACUGACAUGGACGUGGAUGAAGAUGCCAGACCCACAAACGAGCAAGCUGAAGCAUCAGUGCUGGUCGAUUUGGGCAAUGAAACCGAUGCACCCACUUUGCUGAAUGGGGGGGAUGUUGAUGCUGAGGAUGAUGAAAUUGAUCCAUUGGAUGCCUUCAUGAAUUCUAUGGUGAUGCCUGAAGUUGAGAAGCUAAAAAGUGAUCUGGCUCCCUCAACUAUUGAUGAUAAGAAUGUGGACUUGAAGAACAAAGAUAAGAAGCACGAAGGAAGCAACAGUCAACCGCCACGGAAGGGUAAAAAAUAUUCUAUGGGGAGAAUAAUGCAGGGCGAGGAUUCGGAGUCAGAUUAUGAUAACCCUGAGAAUGACGAGGAACGGUUAGAUGAGGAAGAUGACGACGAGUUCAUGAAAAGGGUGAAGAAGACAAAAGUGGAGAAGCUUUCUUUAGUUGACCACUCCAAGAUAGAAUAUAAACCGUUUCGGAAAAAUUUUUACAUUGAAGCAAAAGAGAUCUCAAAGAUGACUUUUGAAGAGGUUGCUGCCUACCGGAAGCAAUUGGAGUUGAAGUUACAUGGUAAGGAUGUGCCGAAGCCGGUCAAAACCUGGUACCAAACUGGACUUACAAGUAAAAUCUUGGAGACAAUAAAGAAGCUUAACUAUGAAAAGCCAAUGACAAUUCAAGCUCAGGCACUGCCUAUAAUUAUGAGUGGUCGAGACUGCAUCGGCGUUGCCAAAACUGGCUCAGGCAAAACUGUUGCGUUUGUGCUGCCAAUGUUGAGGCAUAUAAAGGACCAGCCACCCGUUGAAGCUGGGGAUGGACCUAUUGGACUAAUAAUGGCACCUACAAGGGAGCUUGUACAGCAGAUCCACAGUGACAUAAAGAAGUUUGCAAAGGUACUUGGUAUCAGGUGUGUGCCUGUGUAUGGAGGUUCUGGUGUUGCCCAACAAAUUAGUGAUUUGAAGCGGGGCACUGAGAUUGUUGUCUGUACUCCAGGCAGGAUGAUUGACAUACUUUGCACCAGUGCCGGGAAAAUUACAAAUCUGCGUAGGGUCACUUAUUUGGUCAUGGAUGAAGCUGAUCGAAUGUUUGACAUGGGUUUUGAACCUCAAAUUACUCGAAUUGUGCAAAAUAUUCGUCCAGAUCGCCAAACAGUACUCUUCUCUGCCACUUUCCCGCGCCAAGUUGAAGUUUUGGCACGUAAAGUGUUAAGUAAGCCCGUAGAGAUACAAGUUGGUGGUAGAAGUGUUGUGAACAAGGACAUAACACAGUUGGUUGAGGUGAGGCCAGAAAAUGAAAGGUUCUUUAGACUGUUGGAAAUACUUGGUGAAUGGUAUGAGAAAGGAAAAAUUUUGAUAUUUGUCCACUCACAGGAGAAGUGUGAUGCUUUGUUCAGGGAUCUCCUCAAGCAUGGUUAUCCUUGCCUCUCAUUACAUGGGGCUAAGGAUCAGACAGAUCGUGAGUCAACCAUUUUUGAUUUUAAAAGCAAUGUCUGCAAUUUGCUGAUUGCAACAAGUAUUGCUGCCAGGGGGUUAGACGUGAAGGAGCUUGAAUUGGUGAUCAACUUUGACGUUACAAACCACUAUGAAGACUAUGUCCACCGUGUUGGUCGUACAGGCCGAGCUGGUCGAAAAGGCUCUGCCAUUACAUUUAUCUCAGAGGAAGAUGCAAGAUAUGCCCCAGAUCUUGUAAAGGCAUUGGAACUCUCUGAGCAAGUUGUUCCUGAUGACCUGAAAGCUCUUGCUGAUAGUUUUAUGGCAAAAGUGAAUCAGGGACUUGAGCAAGCCCAUGGGACUGGUUAUGGUGGAAGUGGUUUUAAAUUUAAUGAAGAGGAAGAUGAAAUGAGAAGAGCAGCAAAGAAAGCACAGGCCAAAGAAUAUGGUUUCGAGGAGGAUAAGUCAGAUUCCGAAGAUGAAGAUGAAGGUAUAAGGAAGGCAGGUGGUGACAUAUCACAGCAGGCUGCCUUAGCUCAGAUAAUUGCUGCUGCCUCCAAAGUCAGUACACCCAUGACAAUGCCAGGCUCAGCUGCUCAACUGCUGCCCAAUGGUGGACUUCCUAUUACGCUGCCAGGUGUUGGUCUAACAAUACCUGGAACAGCAGCAGUUGUGACUGGGACUGGCCUGCCUGCUAUUGCCAAUGACACGGCUGGGGCAGCUCGAGCAGCUGCCAUUGCAGCUGCUCUUAACUUGCAGCAAAAUUUGGCAAAGAUUCAAGCUGAUGCAAUGUCUGAGCACUAUGAGGCAGAGCUGGAGAUAAAUGAUUUUCCCCAGAAUGCUCGAUGGAAGGUUACCCACAAGGAAACUUUGGGGCCAAUUUCAGACUGGACUGGAGCUGCUAUUACCACCAGGGGGCAGUAUUUCCCAACAGGUAGGGUGCCAGGACCUGGAGAACGCAAGCUUUACUUGUUCAUUGAGGGUCCUACCGAACAGUCUGUAAAGAGAGCUAAAUCAGAAUUAAAGCGCGUUUUGGAGGACAUCACGAACCAGGCAUUACAACUGCCUGGUGGAGCCCAACCAGGCAGAUACCAAGUUUUAUAAGUGUAAGAACUUGAUUCCAUUUCAUAUAGCCAUCGUAGGCAUACGUCCUUUUUUUUAUAGGUCUUGUAGGCAUUUCUUUACCAGCUUCUGUAGGAUUUUGGAUGAGUUCUUACGUCUAGUUAUUAUUCUUUCACCAGUUAAUAUGUUGAAUGAGUUUUUCUGAACAAAUUGGUUUGGAGUUGGCUUUUAUUACACUGUUGAUCAGUUUUGGAAGUAGCACAAGAUGCUUACGUGUACCUUUGUUGAAGUAUGUGGAUCAAGCUUAGGAUACAAUUAGGAAACAUUUUUGUUCUGUUCAUGAUAAUGCAAGCUUUUUGGUUUCUAGAAACAUCUCUCUCCCCAAAAAAUGUUCAUCUUGAGAUCUUACCAUUAAUCAUCUAUGAGAGAGACGGAGAGUAGGUGCUAUAUGACUUGGGAAUGUGCCCAAGUCAUCAAGCACUUGAGAGUUACCUGUAGUGACAGGAUUAACACUGAAUGAAAUCUGCUAUUAUGCUUUUUUUCCUCUUUUUCACUCCAAGUAGAACUUGUGGAUUUUGAGUCAAAAGCAUAUAAUUUUCUCCCACUUUCCCUACCUCACCAUAGUCGCAUCUUGUAUUGAUUUGCUGCAAAAUAUUAUGACUUUGUUUUUCGAUUUCCAAAUUUUUUUUCAACCCUUUUAAUUUUUUCUUUUCUCAUGGCGCGAGGGAUGUUUUAAGCCUAUGCUCGCAUGUCCAAAUAUUGUCUCUGCUCAUUGCCUUUGCUAUCGUGGCUGUGAAAGCAAUGGAGGUUAUGGUGCGGCACUUGUUUCUCAUGUUCCUGCUGGUUCACAGUUGGGAUCCUGGAGCCGACUGUUGCUGUAUUUGCAAACUUUGUUAUGAUUACAUAUCUACAAGAGUAUUAAACCUAAUUAGGAUUCCUGCUAGUAAGAGGAUCUUCACUUGUUGGUUUUUAUGGGGUUCCAUAUUAUAAGCGAUCUUAAGAUUCAACUGGCUUGGCUGACCUAAUUACUAAUUAGACGGAUGUCUAUAUCAUACAUACUUAUGACAAGUUGUUUGAUAUCUUUACAGUAAUCAUCACCUCAUGCCCAGAUCAGUGUCUUCAAUGUAUUUGUGAACUUCCAGGAUAUAACAAAUGACCCCUAUUGUUGAGGAUGCAUUUUUGGUUUGGUUCUUUUUUCCUUCCUGGAUAUUCUUAUAUGAUUGAUAAUGGGAAUUCUUCUAGUUAAGAUCAAUAUUGUUGUAAUAGCGUUAAUGGUUUCUGUUUCUUUCUGUUUAGGAAAAUGUCUGUCAUGUAUGGUAGUGUAAAUUAAAUUUUUGCUAAUGCUUUGUUUCUCUGUUUCAGCCGGAGCCAUCAACAAAAUGAUUCCUAAUUAAUGGCUAUAUUAAUUUUUGUGCAUUGAAGUACUUUUGAUUUAAGCACACUUGAAAUUCGUUCGGCCACAGGUACCAAGUAUUUUUUUCCAGGGACAGGACUGUCAGUCAAUCUGGAUCUGGAAAACUACCCUUUCCAUAUCAGAAGCUAUGCAAAGGAGAUCCCGGAAGAAGUAGAUCAGGCGGUGUAUGGAUGGCUUAUUGACACUAUAUAUUGAAUGCUUUUUGCAUAGGAUUUUAGUAGGCAGGUUAUUUGUAUUCGGAAGUGGAACCUUUAUGCGGGGAAUUAAGGAAUUCCUUCGCUUCGUUUCACUUCACUUGGUGCUGGACUUCUAUAAUCAAUAGACCAAUCAGCAACUUGUAUCAGGAGGCUGAACAUGAUUACUGAUUAGAAUUUGACUUUGUUUCAUGCGAAAAGAAUUAAAAAUAAAAAAGAUUUGAAUUUGUUUGUUUGGAGCAAA